GAUGAACGCUGGCGGCGUGCCUAAUACAUGCAAGUCGAGCGAACAGACGAGGAGCUUGCUCCUCUGACGUUAGCGGCGGACGGGUGAGUAACACGUGGAUAACCUACCUAUAAGACUGGGAUAACUUCGGGAAACCGGAGCUAAUACCGGAUAAUAUAUUGAACCGCAUGGUUCAAUAGUGAAAGACGGUUUUGCUGUUACCUAUAGAUGGUUCCGCGCCGCAUUAGCUAGUUGGUAAGGUAACGCCUUACCAAGGCGACGAUGCGUAGCCGACCUGGGAGGGUGAUCGGCCACACUGGAACUGAGACACGGUCCAGACUACUACGGUAGGCAGCAGUAGGGAAUCUUCCGCAAUGGGCGAAAGCCUGACGGAGCAACGCCGCGUGAGUGAUGAAGGUCUUCGGAUCGUAAAACUCUGUUAUUGUGGAAGAACAAAUGUGUAAGUAACUAUGCACGUCUUGACGGUACCUAAUCAGAAAGCCACGGCUAACUUCGUG
rnacentral:rRNA from 1 species